CCCGCAGGCAUCCGCCUGCGGGGUCCUGACACCGGUACCUGACACGGCCGGUGCAG
rfam:Streptomyces sp. CC53 NODE_357_length_143834_cov_145.091202, whole genome shotgun sequence.